UGGAAAACUGUAUCUUUGUAGGAGACUGUAAAAACUUCUAUUAUACUGACGGCCACAGCUACAGCAUUUUUGCGUGACUCAACUCUGCUCCAACCCCCAUUUCCAAAUACAGACAACAACUGAGGCUGUGUGCCUGCUGCUUGAGAGUAACCUGGAGUUGCAAGUCUUAUGUUAAAAUCCAUAGUCGGCUCUUCUCAUCCCCGAGAGAUCACUCUGCCUGGGAAAGAAAGGAGAGUCUUUCAAAUGCAGAUGGUAACAAUAGACGGGGAGGAACCCUUGAAGCAAACAUGACUUCAUUCACUCAGAGGUUGCUGACGGACCACAUGCUGUGUGCCCGUCCUGUGCCAGCCGCCACUGAAGACACAUGGGUAGUUUCCGCACCGGCCCUGACCUGAAGGAGCACAAGGUCUAAUGAAAGUCAGUUAACGACUGUUUUUGCCAUCUAAAGAUGUAUUGUGCAAAUGGAAAAGAAACACAUUAAGACCUUGCUACAUCA
rnacentral:lncRNA from 1 species